AACGAACGCUGGCGGCAGGCCUAACACAUGCAAGUCGAACGCCCUGGCAACAGGGAGUGGCAGACGGGUGAGUAACGCGUGGGAACGUGCCCUUCGGUUCGGAAUAACUCAGGGAAACUUGAGCUAAUACCGAAUACGUGCGAGAGCAGAAAGAUUUAUCGCCGAAGGAUCGGCCCGCGUACGAUUAGCUAGUUGGUGAGGUAAUGGCUCACAAAGGCGACGAUCGGUAGCUGGUCUGAGAGGAUGAUCAGCCACACUGGGACGGAGAGACGCACCAGACUCCUACGGGAGGCAGCAGUGGGGAAUAUUGGACAAUGGGCGCAAGCCUGAUCCAGCCAUGCCGCGUGAGUGAUGAAGGCCCUAGGGUUGUAAAGCUCUUUCGCCAGGGACGAUAAUGACGGUACCUGGAUAAGAAGCCCCGGCUAACUUCGUGCCAGCAGCCGCGGUAA
rnacentral:rRNA from 1 species